rnacentral:rRNA from 1 species
CGCAAAAAAUGCAGNUCGAGCGAGCUUGCCUAGAUGAUUUUAGUGCUUGCACUAAAUGAAACUAGAUACAAGCGAGCGGUGGACGGGUGAGUAACACGUGGGUAACCUGCCCAAGAGACUGGGAUAACACCUGGAAACAGAUGCUAAUACCGGAUAACAACACUAGACGCAUGUCUAGAGUUUGAAAGAUGGUUCUGCUAUCACUCUUGGAUGGACCUGCGGUGCAUUAGCUAGUUGGUAAGGUAACGGCUUACCAAGGCAAUGAUGCAUAGCCGAGUUGAGAGACUGAUCGGCCACAUUGGGACUGAGACACGGCCCAAACUCCUACGGGAGGCAGCAGUAGGGAAUCUUCCACAAUGGACGAAAGUCUGAUGGAGCAACGCCGCGUGAGUGAAGAAGGGUUUCGGCUCGUAAAGCUCUGUUGGUAGUGAAGAAAGAUAGAGGUAGUAACUGGCCUUUAUUUGACGGUAAUUACUUAGAAAGUCACGGCUAACUACGUGCCAGCAGCCGCGGUAAUACGUAGGUGGCAAGCGUUGUCCGGAUUUAUUGGGCGUAAAGCGAGUGCAGGCGGUUCAAUAAGUCUGAUGUGAAAGCCUUCGGCUCAACCGGAGAAUUGCAUCAGAAACUGUUGAACUUGAGUGCAGAAGAGGAGAGUGGAACUCCAUGUGUAGCGGUGGAAUGCGUAGAUAUAUGGAAGAACACCAGUGGCGAAGGCGGCUCUCUGGUCUGCAACUGACGCUGAGGCUCGAA